GCAGAGGAGGACGGAGGAAAGGAAAAGAGCAAAGGUUAUGUUGAGAAAAUAUUCCUAAGGCAAUUAUUUCUGAAUGGAAAGGGAAGAAACAGACGAGAAACCAAGGCCCAUUCAUCACGUGGUCUAAGGCUUCACACACUGUCUCUGUUGGGGUUCACCUGCAUUGGACACAGAGCCCCAUGCUGAGCUGGGGCCACCGUCCACUGCUGUCUUCAAGAGAGUAACUUACGACCCUCUAGAGGGUGAACAGGAGCGAGCCCUCGAUGGCCCUCGAUGGCCCGGCCUCAGUACCAAACAGCACUGCAGCUGGUCAGUGAGGGAGAAGCCGUCUGGGCCUCAGAGGCCGGGAUUCAAGCGAGGACGGAGGCGAGGUCGGCUCUGACUCUGGCCCGUGAACCACUUCCUAUCUUAGAGAGUAGUUUGGGGUAGUUCCUGCCUGGCCUCAGUCCUUCCUCUCAUCCUGUUUUCCAAAUGGAGUCCAACGGAAGCCAGGAUGUGGGAGUGUGCUGCCGAGCUGUAAGGAAGGGAGAGUCCACGUCUGAAGAACAUAGGUGAACGUUUACUUCAGACGGUGAGAGGAGGGCCAGACAGGGCUGGUGAGCGCAUGCUGAGCAGCAGCACGUGACUUCAGAAGUCAGAUGCUGGCCAGCCUGUUGGGAUGCUGAGGUGCCUCACUUUACAACCCGGGAAGCCCACAGACCAGACGUGUGUCAUUCUGAAAGUCAACUGUGCGGGAUGUGGAGGUGGUACAGGCUGGCUGAAGCCAGUCGCCGGGGAGGGGGACUCUCUGAAGGACGGUCUGGACCUGCCAUCCUGGGGGCAGUAUGUGAAGCGUGCCGGCGGGAAGGAAGCAGCCCCUGAACAAGAACGGACAGCGGUGCAUGGUUCUAGUCAAGCUGUGCGGAGAGAGGCGGCAGCAUUGGAAACGCAAACACUUGAGCCACGCAGGUGAACACUGGAAAAGGCAGGCUGAGAUCAAGAGCAGAUGAACUCAGGAUGGCAGAGAACAUGGAUCCAGGUGGGUCACGAACCCCAGCUUCCAAGAGGAGGAAGCAGGAACAGGGGAGGGUAGACAGCCAGGGCCUGAAUGCCAGGAGGCCCCAAGCCUGCAGCACCAGCGACUCGGGAGGCUGAGGCAUGAGGGAUGACUGAGCCCUGGUCACUGGGCAACAGAGAGACCUGUCUCUGAAGAGUAACAGGCAGGAGAUGGUUCUGAGGAAGGGACAGAGCAAGGCUGUGCUUCAGAGGUCAGCCAGGUCAGAAGGGACCCUUCCGUCAGCCUAAUGUCUUCCUCAACAGCUGGAUGGCAGCUUGCUUGACACCAUCUCAAGCCCUCGGAAUAUUGUUCCUGGUGCUAGUGACCGAGGCAGGGUCUCACACACACUAGGUAAGCAGCAGAGCGGUCAUUCACAUCUAGGAAAACGUGAGCAGGACACAAGGGUCCUUCUGAUCUGGCCUGCCUUCGGCCUCUUCCUCUUCAUCUCUAGAUCCCGUCCUUGGUUGGUGUGGUUUUAACAUCAGCAUCGAUUGUAAAUGCAAACCCUCAGCUUUCAAUCCGGGUGGAGAGCCCACGGGCAUCCCCGUUGUCAGCUGAGAUCCAUGCCUCUCAAGAACACUGAAGCUGGGAGAUGGGUGUUAGCUUACACAGGCCGUGAAUGCCAGGAAAGGAGAGUCAGCGGUGGGGAUUAUUUAACUCACGGCUACACACUAAAACCUGAACAAAACUGUGCCGGUCCAGGCUUCAGAUUCUGAGUCACUGGAGACCGCAGAAGUGCCACCUCGUCCUUGCUCACAACUGCUAGAGUUGGGGAGAGCUGUAAGUCAUGCGUGGGUAGACCUCAGAGUCCCGCACUUGGGGAUCAAGUGUCCAGAGAGGAAGAGUACCUGCAGAGACUUGAAGGAACCUGAAAAAUUGCCCAUGCCAAUUAAAUCAGCAUCUCUCAGGGGAGGGGGACCCAGCACUGUGGUAUCUCGUUUCCCCAAGUGAUUAUAACGGGGACCAAGUUGAGACUCGGUAUGAAUUAACAUCCCACUGGACAUUCCUGGGGUGCUUGAGGCAGCUAGUAUUCAGCUGGGGAGUCACACCCUAGGCUGCGCAGACCGGGGAACAGGAAAAAAAGAUGUCGGCUUAUGCCACCUUUGUGCAGACCUGCAGAAAAGAGCAAAGAAACUCCCCAGACAUCCCUGUCAACGUGCAGAGAGAUUCCCAGGAAACAUGAAGAGGCGGCAGCCAACAUCUGGGAAAGAAGUUUACAUGUGAUGAAAUGCAGAGGUGGAUGAAGGAUUAUACACCAGCCAGGAGGUAAGAGAAAGUCCGUCCCUAAUGCGUCCCCAAAGACUGUCAUCUGGAUUCCUCUCCAUUCAAACUCCUUCUGCGGUGACUCCAUGACCCCUGAUAUCUCUACUGGAGGUAUGAACGUGAAGUCACUUAAGUGACUGAGAGAAGCCUUUCCUUGCCAUCAAUGUGGCAAAGCAGGAGACAGACGAGCAGGCAAGUUUGAUGGUGCAAGGUCUCGGGAGCCUGUCAGUCUCUUGGUGCUGGAGUCAGAGGUGGGCUGCCAUGUCUACCCAGCAUCUAUGUCAAUGAAAUAAUGCCAUUUUUUUCUGAAAAAGGCCCAUGUGUAUAUAUUUAUGUUCUACACCUACGUGAUCUGUGACAUCUACUCAUCUCAGGGUGAGUGGGACUACUCCAGUCGGCCUUCACUCUCAAAGCCAGGGCUGGCUUAGAUCUGGUCCUGAGGCUGUGGUGUGUGAGCUGCUGGUCUGCCCACAGGAUGAAGCUAAUGCAAUCAAGGAACUAAUGACUCUGCAUCGUACUUUAGUUCACUUAAAAAGCCACAUGUGACCAUCUAACUGGCCUAAUAAUUUUUUAAUAACAACCUCAAAAACAGAACUAACAGGGAACAAAGUGUGAGGUGGCGCUUUCAGAAAUGUGCAGAGGUUCCUUCUGUACAACCCAGCGACUUUUAGCCUGGGACUGACAUGUGAAGUUAAAAGAUAUCAGUUUCCCUGACGGAUCCAUAGAUCCCAGGUGUUCCCAGCCCAAAGCCGAUUCUCAGGUUUCUAUGGAACAUAGAAUGUGGAGAGAGGGAGACCCACAGAGACAGACUGGUUACCAGUCUGAAGGCAAAGACAUACAGCAAGCAAGGGCCAGUGGGUCAGAGGGACACCUGGGUACCUACAGAGAAAAAAUACGAUUCCUGGCCGAAACCACAGGAAAAUCUUCCCAGACACACAAGAGACAGAACUGUGAAACCCAUGGAAGAAAAUCAAGGAAGAGAUCUUGAACUUGGAAUGUCGGGGCAUUUUCAUAAAUCAGACACGAAGAGGGCUGGGGAGGCGUGUCGGUGGGGAGAGCACAGACCACACAUGCCUGACAGCGUGAGUUCGGAUCCCCAGAGCCUGCAGAGCAGCACAAGCAUCUACAAUCCCGCACUUCUCCAUGGGAAGAUGGGAGCUGGAGACAGACAGGCGGCCCUCCUAAAGCUCGUGGGCCAGCCAGCCUGGCUUCCCCAGCAGCACCAAGACCAUCUCAAACGAGGAGGUGGGGACUAACCCCUGAAAACGGACCUCGGCAUACACGUCUACAUCCAUGGAUAUAUGCUCCUCAUGCACACCAAAGAACACUGACUACCAAAAGGAGCGGCCAACUCCUGCUUUUUCCUACCAUAUAGCAGCGGAAAGAGGGGCCGCCGGCAGAGCAGCAGGGGCAGCCACAGGUGCUUCACAGGGAGAAGACAGCAGAUUCUCUCACCCACAGCGCAACUGAAAGUGGGGGAAGGCCCUGAACAGACGACUCGUCAACAAUGAUGCGUUCACCAGCAAGCACACGGCAAGGAGCCUAUCGUGACUACAGAACUGCUGAGGAGGGCCACGGGGAGACGCUUCCACACCUGCUAUGACCACAAAACACAGAGGAUCAAGUGUUGAAGAAAGAACCCAAGGCCUCUGUAUGCUAUGUAAAUGCUCUGCCAUGAGCCGCAGCGGCAGCCUGCUACUAACGCAGUCUUUCUAACUACGCUCAGGCCAGGUAUUUGCCUGUGCCUCAUGAACAGUGUGCAAGCACGUUUCCACUCUCAGACUUGUGCAACACUGGGCAUUCAUCUUCAGUCCUUGCCACUCUGCAGGCGACACAGGCCUCCUUUCCUUCAGCAUCUCUUUGACGACACUGAGGUGACCCUUCCACACUGACCUGGGCCAUUCCUCCGUCCUCACUAUCUGGCUUAUUUCUACCUGGAUGUCAACCUCUCUCUCUAAGACCUCCCAUGCCUUCAACUGUCCUCUUGUAUGUCAUAGCCAGCAAGGUCCAGGAUCGUGGGGCCCAAGUCAAUAUUCGAGACCAGCAUCUGUACGAGUGAGGAAAAGCGUCUGGAGCACAACUGACCUCAUCUUCCUUUUCCAGCUCAGACCCGGAACGACCCACCAGAAACCAGCAGUACCACCACUUUCCGAUAACCCGUUCUCUCCUCCCAGUUCCAGACACUCAACUACAACUGAAGACACAGGCUUGUCAGAAGGGCCCGUAUGAAAAGCAAGAGCAUCUUCAUGGCAUUGUUCAUCAGGGCUCAGAUUUCCUGGUAGCUGGGAGAGCCGGUGACGCACAACCUGGCCCUGGAUCCAUUAGUGUCUCGGCAGCUGUCAUGGAUUACUAUUCCACGAGACAAUUCGGGGAGCAGCAACCCAUAUGUCACUGAAAAAGCUCACCGGCGCUGUCUCCAGAGAGCAGCAAGGCCCACAAAUACGGGUCAGUUUUCCUCUUGCCAGACCCUGGGUGAACUGAGCAGCCUGGCUGACAGUUGGCAAGUCUGGAUAGAACUAUGAAGAGAUCAGCACAGGAGGGGAAAGACAAGCCCUCAGAGUCCAGGGGUGAGAGCAGGAGCCGUCCCACAGGAUAAACUCUAAAUAUUAAAGCAACAGAAACCCAGGAUGAAAAUGUGACGGCCAGGUUCACCAAAACUCACUUCCAAUUCCAGAGCUGCAUGAUGGUUACACUUUCUAAUGGACUCUGCUCAGUGGCAAGGCCUGUCUAUUCCAGCACAAAUCACUAAGGUGUGGUGGCUUAAGUACCACAAACACAUGUGUCCCCAGGAUACUUUCUCCCCACAGACAGCACUACUGUGUCUUCUCUAAGUGGGACAGGAUUUUUGCCUAUGAAGCAGAUGGUUUCAAACUGUGCACACACUGUCUGAGGAGCCUAGACACCUUUCACGGACACAGAUCAUGAUGAGCAGAAAAUUCAAGAACGCUGAGUCUACCCUUGGUCUCACAGAAGCCUAACAUCAGCUGUGAAAGAAACACAACCUGCAACAUCCUGAAAUCAAGGCGGCGUGCUCUCAGAACACAAUCAGCUUUCCAGACACUUAGGCUCUGACACUACACCACCACCACCACCACCACCACCACCACCACCACCACAGGAGAGUGGCUGCAAUGGCUCUGCCCUUAGCUCCUCUGCCCAGGAAGAAGCCCAGGGUGUCUACCCAGCUACACGGAGUACAGGGGAGGGGCUGCAGAGCUGGCUCCAUGGCUGAGAGCACUUGCCGCUCUCCCAGUGAACCUGAGUUCAGUUCCCAGCACCCACACUGGGUACCUCACACCUCACACCUGCCCCUACUCUAGCUCAGUGGUUCUCAAGCUUCCUAACACAGGACCUGUAAUUUUGCUGGAGAUGCAACACUGUCCUGAUCUGAGCACCAGGAAGAGCAAGGCUUGCUCUGCUGUCAGAGUCUGAGAGAGCUAAGGGUUGGCCUCCUGACUUCCGGUCACAUCACCUCUCCCUGGGCCAGACCAGCUCUGAAACUGUCCCUGUUCUAAAACCCCUCUGAAGAACUGCUACUCAAAAUCUGGACCUAGACUAAUGUCUAGCCAGAGGAGAAAACCAGCCAACCUUUGGCACCACGGACGCAAUCAAUCCCCCUUCUGAGUAGCUCAGGCCACGGGUCGGAGCCUCCGGCUCCAGAGGGUGAUUGCCAACACACAGUAAUGUUCCCUGACAUUCUUUUUAAAAAGGACUUUAGAUCUUCUGUGUCUGAGUGCCACACAUACAUGCCUGCACAUACAUAUGUACAUGUGUGUGCUGGGGCCACCCCUGGUGUCACCCCGAUCCCCAGCCCGGAGUUCCGGAGUGUCUAUAUAAGCCUUCCUGUCGGUGCUGGGAACAACUGGCACUCUGCCAGAGCAGCCUGGGGCCCCAGGCAUUUCACACCUCUCCUACUACACCUGGCAGCCCAGCAAGUGUGCCGACACCCCCACUGUGAGAACAGACUCUACUUACAAAGUCCACCUUACCAGUGUGGGUGAACCCCAGUGCACAUGGAGGAUGGGGGAAUUACUGGCUUACAUCUAUCCUCUUUUUAGGGUACCACAGAGUAACAAGAAGUAAACUCAACAGGAUGUGAAGCCAGCUGAGAGCAGACGAAGGUUUAGAGAGGUAUGGAUGCCGGGUAGGGGAGAGUGUGAAGACGCUUCCUAGGGGAACCCCACUCCAGAGUCUGUAAGGACAAGCAGGCUGGGGAGGUGGGCACUUCAGUCAGAAGCAGCAGCCUCACGCCAAAGCCCGGAGGAGAUCGGUUCCCUUGGGAGGGAAAGCGGUCCGGUACCAAUGCUGCCUUUCCCCUGCUUGCUUGCUCUAACAUCUUUGCUUGCUCAUUGUGCGGCUCAGAGUGCUGGGUCCACAGACCGUGUGACUCCAGCCUCCUCAACCUCUAGGUCUGUGCUCCAAUGCCCAGAGGCCUCGCCUGCUGGAGCUAAACCUUCCUGGCUUCUCAGACAAAGGAUUUAUGAAUUGAUCCUCCCUGGCUGCUUCGUGUUCUGCCCAGGACUGCAGGUGGGCAAUGUCAACAUAAAAAAGUACCGAAUAAACACCCAUUGCCAGAGUACGUGGACUCUGAGCCAGACUGUCUGGAUUCCAAGCAGGGCUCUGCUUUUUAAAUUAUGUGAGACAGACAGACAAUUCCCUUGACCCCUGUUUCUUCGCUGACAGGAUGGGGAUAACAGGACACGACCUCCUGGGCUCCGAGGGCUGAGUGAGUUCAUUCACACAACUCAGACCACCACCUGUCGACACGAUACAGCUCUGAGGAACCAGACACCAUUUAAAUGCUUAGAGGAGGCGAGGUUUCCGAUCUUAAUAUGUGCAGAGGAGGCUGAUGAAAAGGACUGGUCGUUCCUCCGCCGCGGCUGACGGACACAUUUCACUCUGCUCCACUCAGUUUCUUUCCCACGGAAUGCGCAGCCCUAGGCUCCCGAUUCUCAGAAGUGCAUGCCCUGCUGAUGUGCACCCUGCACUCAGCUCCAAGGCCACCCUCAGGAAGGCACACUGAAGGUUGCUGGCCUGCCCAGCCUGCCCAGCUUGCCCCCUUUGAAAGGAGUGACCUGGGUACAAAGUGCCGAAACUUGUGGUGGGACACAGGUCUCAAUAAGAGCAAAUGUGACACAAAUGAUGGCCAGGAAGGCCGCUUUACCUUCCUGGGAGCAAUUUAAAAGUGCUGCGCCAUGAGCACGGUAACAGGAAGUGGGUGAGGUCGGAAGCGAGGUGAGCAUCGGCGCCCACCACCACCAGACACAGCCUGGACCUCCCACAUACCUGGAAGUGCGGGUCCUCUGGAAACCCACCUUACAAUUUUAGCUUUAUGUGUUUGUUCAUGUUCUCUGGUCCCAGCACUUAAGGGACAACGUAGAAUCGGGAAGAGAGACUCUGGCUGUCAUCUCCUGACCACCAGAGAGAAGUGUUCAGGAUCAAGGUGGCCGGCCACCGCCUCUAGGAACAAAGUGUCUUAAUGAGACGGGUUGGCCAAGACACUAGACCAAUGGGAGCCACAGAAUAUGCUGCACAUGCCAGGCGGUGGUGGCACACACCUUUAAUCCCAGCACUCGGGAGGCAGAGCCAGGCGGAUCUCUGUGAAUUUGAGGCCAGCCUGGUCUACCAAGUGAGUUCCAGGACAGGUACCAAAACUACAUGGAGAAACCCUGUCUCGAAAAACCAAAAAAAGAAAAAAAAAAAGAUUGUGCUGCACACGACAGGCCAGGAGGGGCAGAGAGGAAGAGCUUCAGUAAGGAAGAGGAAACCCUGAACUGGCUCUCCUGUGUGUGGACUCAUGAGAGUGGGAAGUAAGAUUCUGGAAGUUCAGGAAGUGACCAGAUUCACAAGCCCCUCCCCUUAAGGUUUAUAUAAACAAGCGGCAACAGUCGGUGGAAUGGAGGAGACUCUCCUUGCUGGAGCUGUCUGCCAGCUGGAGAGGACCCCAGCCAAGUGUCUCUCAGAACUCAACACCCAUUCUGGGAUGGACAUUCCCGUGAUGAGGCUCCUGAGCCAUCCCUAAGGAACCCCAGUAAAUGCACUGAUUCAUCAGCUUCUCACAGGUUUGCUGUCAGUGGCCCGUUGGGGGUGAAUGGACACUUGUUCACAACUCCUAGGGAAAGUCAAAUAUUCCACAGCCUCACACUAUACUCAAAUGAGGUCAGUCAGCAGCAGAUACCACCUGGGGGGUGCGUGGCUAGAACCUGCAUUUUAACAAGACACCCGGGGAUUCUCACAUGCACAGCCUGGGUAGUUCUGGUGUGGGACAUGUGGGCCCCACACCAGGUCUUCACCGCCUAAGCCGAAAGGGGAAUGAAGAGCAGGGUCUGUUCAUGCCACAGGUCAAUCCAAACCCUUCUGGAGGUUGCCCAAGCGCACGCCAUGGUCUUCCUUCAUAAUUGCAGAGGUUAGGACUGGGCUCACAGUCAGCACUUGGUGCUUGGCAUGAAAGUGUGAGGACCCAGAAUUCGCAUCUCCAGAAGCCAAGGUGGGCGUGUAGCCUGAUCUUAAUGCCAACCUUGGAAGGUGGAGACGGGAUUUCCAGAGCAUGCUGAGUAGCAAAGCUAGCUUUAUCAGUGGGGUCUGAGUCUGACUGACAUCCUGCUUCAAUGAAUACGGUGGAAGAUUAUCAAGGACGAUUACUGAUAUCAACCUUGGGCCUCCACAUGUUUGCAUAUACAUGUGCAUGUCCACACACACACACACACACACACACACACACACACACACACAUUCCACAUGUUUGGAUAUACAUGUGCAUGUCCACACACACACACUCCACAUGUUUGCAUAUACAUGUGCAUGUCCACACACACACACACACACACACACACACACACACACAUGCGCUCGCGCAAACUGGAUAGAAAAGAAACCACACAAUUUGAGAUGGUGAUUCCCUAGACUCACUAGUACCAGAAGUCAAUCUGGAAGUGAACCAAGGCUGUGCAUGCUGGUGUGACAUACACACACUUGUGGCAGUGGACAGCUGGGUGAGAGAAAGGCCACUCUCUCCAAGGUUCACAGAGGCAGAAGAGCGUACACCACCGACCAGCCCUCCUCUCCGGGAGAAGUGCCGCCUUCUCAGGGCAAGCGCCACCCGUCCACAGGGUCAGCUGCAGCUGGC